GUCAGUCAAUAUUACUCUGAAUUAGUUUCACAUCUUACAAUUCAUCUAGAGAUAAUCCCAUUGUAUUUAACAAUCAGAAUCGUUUGUCAUGUUUCUGUCGAACUUUAGCUCGAAAUACUUAAGGCUAUUAGAUUAUUACUCCAGGAGCUUGAGAAAAUGAAGGAGAUUGCGAAACUAAAGCAGCUGCCUCCAGUUUAUACUGGACGAUGGGCUACUGCAACCGAAGAAGAAGUGCAAGAAGAGUUGGCAAAGUGAACCCCUUUCACAUAUCGAUUUUGUGUGCCAAAGGAGGGAAGUCUGAAAAUAAGUGAUCUUAUUCAAGGAGAAUGUUGUGAAGGUUAGUUGGAACUUGGACACUUGGAGAUUUUCGUAAUUAUGCGGAGCAAUGGGCAGCCAGUUUACAAUUUCUGUGUCACUGUCGAUGAUGCAACUAUGGCUAUUUCACAUGUUAUAAGAGCGGAAGAGCAUCUGCCACCCUAUCGAAUUGAGACCCACCAGUUUUGACCAGAGAGUGAGCAGCUUAGCACGAAGCAUGACUCAUGUGGAAUUGGCAA